GCCUAUAGCUCAGCUGGUUAGAGCGCACGCCUGAUAAGCGUGAGGUCGAUGGUUCGAGUCCAUUUAGGCCCA
rnacentral:tRNA from 8 species